rnacentral:rRNA from 1 species
GAGUUUGAUCAUGGCUCAGAUUGAACGCUGGCGGCAUGCCUUACACAUGCAAGUCGAACGGCAGCACGGGAGCUUGCUCCUGGUGGCGAGUGGCGAACGGGUGAGUAAUGCAUCGGAACGUAUCCUGGAGUGGGGGGAUAACGUAGCGAAAGUUACGCUAAUACCGCAUAUUCUGUGAGCAGGAAAGCGGGGGACCUUCGGGCCUCGCGCUCUUGGAGCGGCCGAUGUCGGAUUAGCUAGUUGGUGAGGUAAAGGCUCACCAAGGCGACGAUCCGUAGCAGGUCUGAGAGGAUGAUCUGCCACACUGGAACUGAGACACGGUCCAGACUCCUACGGAGGCAGCAGUGGGAAUUUUGGACAAUGGGGGCAACCCUGAUCCAGCCAUG